CGCGGAAGUCGGCCUGGUCCCUCCCCUGGGCUGGAUGGGCCCGCUCCUCCCGAGCGGUCGUGCUCUGAGUUGAAUGCGAUAGAGGCUUCUGGGCGCGUCGCGGGCUAGGUCCAGGAGCUGUGAUCCUCUCCGAGGUCUCAGUGUGCCCGCAGCGCCCCCUGCAGUGCGUCUCCUGCAAGGGGCCCGGAACACAUUCCUGUCCCCGCCAGGCCUGGAGGCCCGAGCGCCUGCUUUUCAUCCACUCUGCCCACCCGCCUCUGCGGUCGGCUGCCUUGGGCGCUGGCCUUAGCAGUUCUGAGUUUGAAUUCAAUCGCCAAUACACAGAAAGCCACACAAAUGUGAAGAUUUGUGAAUUAUUAUCAAAUGAACACCUUUGUAACCACUACCCAAGCCAAGAAACAGUACUUUCCCCCAGAAUACCUUACCCGUGCUCCUUCCCGAUUUCACUCGACUCCCUCCUUCCCAAAGUAGCCACUCUCCUGCCUUUCAUAGUAAUUACUUACCCGAGUUUUUAAAAAAUUGUUGUCACCCAAGUUCGCCUCUCUAGAGGCUAUAAAUUAGACUUGCUCAUUUUGUUAAUAUAUUUUAAGUCUCUUUAAUUUGUAGUUUCUUUCUCCAUCACUUUCUUUUCCUUGCAAUGUAUCCUUGGAAGAAUCUGAAGAGAUUUCUAGUCUGGAUUUCACUGAUUGCAUUCUCCUGGUGCAGUUCAACACAUCUCCCUGUUUUCUGCAUUUCCUGCAAAUUGACAGCUGGAUCCAAAGGCUUGAUCAGACUCAGGUUCAAGAUUUUUGGUGAGACUCCAGGUGGUGGAGUGCUGUUUUGUCAGGAGGCACAUAAUGUCUGGUUGUCUCUAUUUUUUGAGAUCUGAGGAGAGACGAUGUCCAAUGCUUACAUUCAUUAAUUCACUGGGGGAUGAAAAUGGUGAUAUACUAAUUAUAUAAUUUAUUUUUCAUUUAUCAUCUGGGUUGAUUUUAUAAAGAGACUCUUCUCCUCAUCUGCUAUUUGGUUACCCAGUGGAACCGUUCACAGAGGAAAGGCGGCAGUUGCUGUCCAUUGUGGGGUGCAGUCCGGAAGGGAGCCCUCGCAGAUCAGUGAGAGAAUUCACAGACCUUCAGAUCUUACCGCAGAUCUGGUAAGAUCUGGAGUGAGACAAACUGCUGGUUCUCACCCGGCCCCUGCACUGUGGAUGAACAGGGCCCUCAGGUGCCCAGGCCCUGGUAAGCAUCAUUCUACUCCAUGCCUCCGUAAGAUCCACUUUUUUAGCUCCCACAUUUGAGUGAGAACAUGUGAUAUUUGUAUUUUUGUACCUGUUUAUUUCACUCAACAUAAUGAACUCCAGCUCCAUCCAUGUUGCUACAAAUGAAAGGAUAUUAUUCUGUUUUAUGGCCAAAUAAUGUUUCUUUGUGUAUAUAUACCACAUUUUCCUUAUCCAUUCAUUCAUUGGUGGAUUCUUAGGUUGAUUUCACUUCUUGACUAAUAUGAACAGUGCUGUAAUAAACAUGGGAGUGCAGAUAGUUCUUAGGUUUACUGAUUUCCUGUCUUUUGGAUAUAUCCAGCAGUGGGAUUGCUAGAUCAUAUGGUAGUUCUACUUUUAGUUUUUUGAAGCGCCUCCAUACUGUUGUUCAUAGUGGCUGUCCUAGUUUAUAUUCCCACUAACAGUGUAUGAGUGUUCCCCUUUCUCCGAAUCCUUGCCAACGUCUGUUAUUUUUUGUCUUUUUGAUAAUAGCCGUUCUAACUUGGGUGAGAUGGUAUCUCAUCAUGGUUUGAUUUGCAUUUCCUUGAUGAUUAGUGAUAUUGAACAUUUUUUCAUAUACCUGCUGACCGUUUGUAUGCCUUCUUUUGGGAAAUGUCUAUUCAGGUCUUUUGUUCAUUUUAAAAAUGAAGUUAUUUGUUUAAAAAGGAUACUUUGAAUCCAGGCACAGUGGCUCACACCUGUAAUCUCAGCACUUUGGGAGGCUGAAGCGGGCGGAUCACUUGAGGUCAGGAGUUCAAGACCAGCCUGGCCAACAUGGGGGAAAUCCCAUCUCUACUAAAAAUACAAAAAUUAGCCGGGUGUAGUGGUGGGCGCCUGUAAUCCCAGCUACCUGGGAGGCUGAGGCAGGAGAAUCUCUUGAACUUGGGAGGUGGAGGUUGCAGUGAGUUGAGAUCACACCACUGCACUCCAGCUUGGGUGGCAGAAAGAAACUCCAUCUCAAAUAAAUAAAAUAUAGGCUGGGUGUGGUGGCUCAUGCUGUAAUCCCAGCACUUUGGGAGGCCGAGGUGGGCAGAUUGCUUGAGCCCAGGAAUUUGAGGCCAGCCUGAGCAACGUGGCAAAAUCCCAUCUCUACAAAAAUAAUAAUAAAAAAAAUUAGCUGGGCAUGGUGGUAUGCACCUGUAGUCAGUGCCAGCUACUCCAGAGGCUGAGGUGGGAGGCUCACUUGAGCCUGCAAGGUAGAGGCUGACAGAGAGAGACUUUCUCUCAACAACAAUAACAACAAAAUAUAUAUGUAGGCUGGGAGCUGUGGUGCAUGCCUGUAAUCCAAGCAUUUUGGGAGGCCGAGGCAGGAGGAUCACUUGAGUUCAGGAGUUUGAGACCAGCCUGGGCAACAUAGUGAGACUUCAUCUACUAAAAAUACAAAAAAACUAGCUGAGUGUGGUGGGGUGUGCUUAUAGUCCCAGCUACUUGGGAGGCUUAGGUGGGAGAAUCACUUGAGCCUGGGAGUGGAGGCUGAAGUGAGCUAUGAUCUUACCCCUGCACUCCAGCC
ensembl:lncRNA novel transcript